GAUGAACGCUGGCGGCGUGCCUAAUACAUGCAAGUAGAACGCUGACGGAGGAGCUUGCUCUUCUGGAUGAGUUGCGAACGGGUGAGUAACGCGUAGGUAACCUGCCUGGUAGCGGGGGAUAACUAUUGGAAACGAUAGCUAAUACCGCAUGACAACAGUUAUUGCAUGAUAACUGUUUAAAAGGGGCAACUGCUCCACUACCAGAUGGACCUGCGUUGUAUUAGCUAGUUGGUGAGGUAACGGCUCACCAAGGCGACGGUACAUAGCCGACCUGAGGGGGUGAACGGCCACACUGGGACUGGGACACGGCCCCGAAUCCUACGGGAGGCAGCAGUAGGGAAUCUUCGGAAAUAGACGGAAGUCUGACCGAGCAACGCCGCGUGAGGGAAGAAGGUUUUCGGAUCGGAAAGCUCUGUUGUAAGGGAAGAAAGAGUGUGAGAGUGGAAAGUUCACACUGUGACGGUAUCUUACCAGAAAGGGACGGCUAACUACGUG
rnacentral:rRNA from 1 species